UCAUCUUCUUCUCCUUCUUUCUCCCUUCUCUGGUGUAUGCAUGGUAAUAAAAGAAAAAUAGCUAUUGUUUCCUCUUCUAUCCCUCUAUUCCACCCCAUAGUCUCUCUUUUUAUCCCCUUAUUCUCUUCCAUCAUCCCUAACUCUGUCCCCUUCUCUCUCUCUCCUUCUAUCUCUCCUCUUUUAGGGUGUGGGCAUGGAUAUAUGUGUAUAUUGGUAGACAAAGAGAAACCAUGCCUCUUUCCCAUAGCAUUAUCUGUCUUCUUUUUCAUUUUCUUCUAAUUUUUUUCCUUGAUCGAUUUGUAUGCAUAUAUAUUAUAGAUAAGGGGCCUCCACCUGCAACAUUUUAUUGCUUCUUAUAGUGUAGAACAAGGUAAGAUUGCAGUUGGG
rnacentral:lncRNA from 1 species